CCUACGGGAGGCAGCAGUGGGGAAUAUUGCGCAAUGGGCGCAAGCCUGACGCAGCGACGCCGCGUGAGGGAUGAAGGUCUUCGGAUCGUAAACCUCUGUCAGCAGGGAAGAACGGUCACUGUGUUAAUCAGCAGUGAAUUGCCGGUACCUGCAGAGGAAGCACCGGCUAACUCCGUGCCAGCAGCCGCGGUAAUACGGAGGGUGCGAGCGUUAAUCGGAAUUACUGGGCGUAAAGCGCUCGUAGGCGGUAUGUCAAGUCAAGGGGGAAAUCCCCGGGCUCAACGUGGGAACUGCCUUUGAAACUGGCAAACUGGAGUGUGUGAGAGGAUAGUGGAAUUCCAGGUGUAGGAGUGAAAUCCGUAGAGAUCUGGAGGAACAUCAGUGGCGAAGGCGACUAUCUGGCACAUAACUGACGCUGAGGAGCGAAAGCGUGGGUAGCAAACAGGAUUAGAUACCCUUGUAGUC
rnacentral:rRNA from 1 species